UACGUAGGGCGCAAGCGUUGUCCGGAAUUAUUGGGCGUAAAGAGCUCGUAGGUGGCUUGUCACGUCGGGUGUGAAAGCUUGGGGCUUAACUCCAGGUCUGCAUUCGAUACGGGCUGGCUAGAGGUAGUGGGGAGACGGAAUUCCUGGUGUAGCGGUGAAAUGCGCAGAUAUCAGGAGGAACACCGGUGGCGAAGGCGGGUCUCUGGGCCGAUGCUGACGCUGAGGAGCGAAAGCGUGGGGAGCGAACAGG
rnacentral:rRNA from 1 species